GUAGGUGGCAAGCGUUGUCCGGAAUUAUUGGGCGUAAAUCGCGCGCCGGCGGUUUUUUAAGUCUGAUGUGAAAGCCCACGGGCUCAACCGUGGAGGGUCAUUGGAAACUGGAGAACUUGAGUACAGAAGAGGAAAGCGGAAUUCCACGUGUAGCGGUGAAAUGCGUAGAGAUGUGGAGGAACACCAGUGGCGAAGGCGGCUUUCUGGUCUGUAACUGACGCUGAGGCGCGAAAGCGUGGGGAGCAAACAGGAUUAGAUACCCUGGUAGUCCACGCCGUGAACGAUGAGUGCUAAGUGUUAGGGGGUUUCCGCCCCUUAGUGCUGCAGCUAACGCAUUAAGCACUCCGCCUGGGGAGUACGGCCGCAAGGCUG
rnacentral:rRNA from 1 species